GGGAAUAUCUUCCUCAAGAGGACGCUGGAGGAAGAGGAUGGCAGGGAGAAGGUGAAGGAUCCUCAUUGCCUCAAGUGUCUGGGGACAUCCCAUUGUCACAGGUUUCCUGCGUGCCCCCAACACCGAGGUGCAGUGCAGGCAGGCUGGGGGGGUCUGUUCCAGCGACCGCUGCCCCCCACCCCACACGAGACCCUUUGGGCGCUGCCAGCAGGGAAUUCCCUGCUGUAGGACCGUGG